ensembl:ncRNA lncRNA:CR44642 long non-coding RNA:CR44642
AAACAGUGCGACAUCGAUUCAGAUGUCUAAGCUUCAAAUAAAUAAACUAUCAAUCGAAUUCAUAAUUAUUAAUUAGCUAAUGAAUUCGCGACGCAAAAGAAGCUCAGGGCUGUUGUGGCAGACGAUUUACGAGGCAGGCCAAUAACAAUUGGUCGCCAAUGUUAUUGGAUGAGUUGUGUUUUUUAUUGGAUCGGAAGACAAAGUUCGGAGGUCGAGCUGACUUAAGCCUUAUUGGCUUAAUACGUGCGGCUUUCUCCAUUGACGUCACUGGUGAAAUGUGAGCGGUGUGCUGAUGAAACUAGUUCAAUGUCGCUGGCCCACUAUGACGUCACCGUUGGCAGACAUCGCUCAUCCGCCACGUCGGCCCAGUCGGCCCAGUCGUCCCAGCCGGCCGGCCUUUGGAAUGGGCGUAAUAUAUGGGAUCCGCUCGAGAUUCGGUGUUCCUCACUCCCACUAUCAACCAGCAACAUCCAUGACCCGAUAUGCCUUCCAGAAACUUCCCUGCGCCACGUGUCGCGUGUCUGGCGUGCGUGUUUGUAAACAACUGCACUGCCAUGUCCUUUUUACUAUCAAAACAACAGGACACCAGGGCGCAGGCGCUGGAAGGCUAUGCACAUUCCACACGGAACAGAGGCUGGAAGUCCUGGAAGGAGGAACGAGAACACAGAGCCCAACACUCCAGGGCGUUCAAAUGUGUAUAC